AAGUCGUAACAAGGUUUCCGUAGGUGAACCUGCGGAAUCAUUAACACGUAUCCAACGUUAAAACAACCCCGUGAACUUUCAGCUUGCUCCUGUAGCCCGUGAAAGCAGCAAUCCCUGGCUUUACGACAACUACAGUCUAACUUCGCCGCGCGUGAAAUUCGCACGGCACCAAAAACCGAACAACUGUUAACAAUGGAUAUCUUGGUUCUC
rnacentral:misc_RNA from 1 species